GGCUCUUGGCUGCAACCCUUCUUGCGUGACAAAAUGGCGGUUCAUUAUUCAAUGGCUAACGGGGCAUGAGGUUGAAGAGCUUUGUAAUCGGCUGAGUAAUGACCUAACUGCUGCAGCCAAGUCAACCUUCAGAUGUCUGAGAGGGCAUCACAUAAGCCCUGGCUUCGCUCAGAGGGGCUUUGGAGCCCAGAACACGCAGAAGAAGCUGCCAGAUGAGUUGAUUUGAACGUCUGCCAAAAGCACUGGACCUGCCUCAGCCUACUAGCUGGUGUUUCCAUGGUGACUAUGAGUAGGAAGCUGUGGAGUCAACACCUUGAAAUAGGGGAUACAGCCUCUGCUGAACAGGUGGAUAGAAAAACAGGUAUCAUAUAUAACACUAACUCUCCCUCACUGACGUGUGCAGAGUAGGAUGCUUUCCAGGGAUGAUUCAUCCAAUGUACUGUAUUUCUAUCAGACCUGUUCCGUUUUUUUUGC
ensembl:lncRNA